GACGAACGCUGGCGGCGUGCCUAAUACAUGCAAGUUGAGCGCUGAAGGCUGGUACUUGUACCAACUGGAUGAGCAGCGCACGGGUGAGUAACGCGUGGGGAAUCUGCCUUUGAGCGGGGGACAACAUUUGGAAACGAAUGCUAAUACCGCAUAAAAACUUUAAACACAAGUUUUAAGUUUGAAAGAUGCCAUUGCAUCACUCAAAGAUGAUCCCGCGUUGUAUUAGCUAGUUGGUGAGGUAAAGGCUCACCAAGGCGGUGAAACAUAGCCGACCUGAUAGGGUGAUCGGCCAGAUUGGGACUGAGACACGGCCCAAACUCCUACGGGAGGCAGCAGUAGGGAAUCUUCGGCAAGGGACGAAAGUCUGACCGAGAAACGCCGCGUGAGUGAAGAAGGUUUUCGGGUCGUAAAACUCUGUUGGUAGAGAAGAACGUUGGUGAGAGUGGAAAGCUCAUCAAGUGACGGUAACUACCCAGAAAGGGACGGCUAACUACGUG
rnacentral:rRNA from 1 species